GACGAACGCUGGCGGCGUGCUUAACACAUGCAAGUCGAACGAUGAAGCCCUUCGGGGUGGAUUAGUGGCGAACGGGUGAGUAACACGUGGGCAAUCUGCCCUUCACUCUGGGACAAGCCCUGGAAACGGGGUCUAAUACCGGAUAAUACUCCUGCCUGCAUGGGCGGGGUUGAAAGCUCCGGCGGUGAAGGAUGAGCCCGCGGCCUAUCAGCUUGUUGGUGGGGUAAUGGCCCACCAAGGCGA
rnacentral:rRNA from 1 species